GCGGACUAGAGGGGCUGAACAGAGGGCUAAUCAGAGGAGACACCUCGCAGGGAGCAGGGGGAUGGGAUGGAAGAUUUUAAGUGGAACGUAAAGAAAUCGGACGUGACAUCUUCAUUUCCUGCCAGGACCUAAUUCGGUCUGAGGACGCUCAGCUCGGGGAGCAAGAAUUAAUGGAAGGGAAUUGGACUGCAUACCCGGAUAAAUAGAAACCAUUGUAGACGUCAAACUUCCCUGUCCUUCAUCUCAGCCGUGACUCAGCAUCCAAUUGGUUCAUUAAAAAGAAAAUAAACCCCACAAAGCGUCUUUCUGACAUUUUCUCAAAUCCUCCUCAGCUGAUCCGGUUUUGAGCUAUUGUCCCAGGAGAGACCAGGAGGUCGGGGCCAUGACUGGGCCUGCCUCACUCCCAGCCCAGCUUGUGGACCUCUGGAAUCCCCGUCAGCCACUGCCACCCCCACUCCAACCCAAGGACAAGAGCAGCUGCAAUCAAUACAGCAAAACUACUCAGAAUGGGCUUGUUUUGUUUUGCAAUAACUGCCUCCAACUAGUAAAUGUGUUUGAUCCUGCUAAUUAAAAAGCAAACUGUACAUACCAUUAAUUUGAUCCUGAGACAGAAAUUUUGCCUGUAGCAGAGAGAGAGAAGAAGGAAGAGAGAGAAAGUUAGCAAGAAGAAAUCAUCCACAGCUGGCCUUCCUUGCUCCAUGCUGAGCCCAACCAGAGAACUCAGUCCACUCACCAUUAUUUCCUAGUUGGGUCGGGAGCCGGCUACCUGGACUCUCAAGAUUCCCUUUUCUUUGUUACUUCCCUUCUUGUUGAUUCAGUGCUAAAGUCCAGCCAAUGCCAACUUGGGGUGGAGAAGGAUGGUAAUAAAUACCCAGCUGCCAUGGCAACCAGGCUCCAUCUGUACAGCGGGGUCGGAUUCCAACUUGCAGCAGCAGCUGCCGUAUCUGCCCAGUAAGGGGCCACAAAUUAAAAUGAAGUUUUCCAGGAAAAUGGCUGAGAACGUGGGAUCCUGGCUUUGGAGUGGUCUUGCCACUCCUGGGGGGGUGGGAGCAAGGAGCAGCCGCAGAAGCAUAGAUUGCUGUUGAGGUCUCAGACCUGCAAGGUGAGCCCUCCUCAUGGAAUAACUUGGCCUAAGGGCCUGAUGCUGGGGUCUCCUGCUGGGCUCAUUUGCCACUGCCAAAGAACCGAGCACAUGAGGUUCCGGCAUCUCAUGAUGGGAGUGACUUUUUUAUAUAACGCGAGUAAUGGUCAGAGACUUGCUUUUUUGGCCAAAGAGAUUCACCCUUUGGGUCUGUGUGAGGCUGCUUUGCAUUUCAUUCUCCUUUUGUUUUCAUUCUUCAUCUAGGGUGUAUAAUUCUCUGGUGGUCACUGGGCAUGGGGCAAGCACGGAGGGUCAGAAUAAAUGGGGAAAAUCCCCAGAUAACCUGAAAUGGGACAGGCCCAUUCACAGCAGAACAGGCAGUGGAUGACAGUGAGACAAGAGGGACUCGAUUUGCUGGGAGAAGCAAAAUGAUCUGGUUAAGCCUCAACCUGGAUAAGAGCUCCCCGAUGAUCAAUAUUUGACUGUCUUUCCUCGUAUCCUUGCCAGAGAGGUGAUGCGCCUUACAGAAGAGCGUAGGACCUGGAAGCAGAGCCUCCAGCCUUAGCUGUCCUGUGUGAUCUACCUUAGGUAAAUAAUGACCUCUCUACACUUCAGUCUCCCUCUGCAAAAUAAGGGGAUUCAGAUAAAAGCUCCCUUCCAGCUCAAACAUUGUGUGAUUCUUUCUCAUGGAAAUCCUUGGGUAGGUGAGAUUGCAGCAUGGGGCAAGGGCUGUUAGUUACAUCUAACCUUUUGUUGUUCAGUCAUGUUUUGGUAGUGUCCAAUUCUUCAUGACCCCAUUUGGGAUUUUCUUGGCAAUGAUCACCACAGUGGUAUGCUGUCUUCCUCUAGUCCACUUUACAAAUGAGGAAACUGAGGCAAACAGAGAAGUCACUUGCCCAAGGUCAUAUAACUAAUGUCUAGAGCUAGGUUUGAAUUUUCUUGACUCCAGGCCCAGUGCUCUAUCCUCUGGCCACCUAUCUAAUUAGUGAGGAGGGGCUAAUUAUACUGUUAAGAGGACCCUGAAUGGAAAAAGCAGGGGAAGGACAGUUUUAUCCUAUCUGAACUCAGUGACCGUUAAAGAUGUUUGUGUCUGAGAUGGAAUCCCCAUGGAUUUGGGUUGAGAACAGAUGGGAAUAUGUGCAAGCAGAUAAUAUAUCUUGAAUUUCCCUGGAAUAAUUAAUUUUGGAUCAAUAUUUUGGAUUAAUUUUU